rnacentral:rRNA from 1 species
CACGUAGGGCGCGAGCGUUGUCCGGAAUUAUUGGGCGUAAAGAGCUCGUAGGCGGCCUGUUGCGUCCGCUGUGAAAGCCCGGGGCUUAACCCCGGGUCGGCAGUGGAUACGGGCAGGCUAGAGGUGAGGUAGGGGAGAAUGGAAUUCCCGGUGUAGCGGUAGAAAUGCGCAGAUAUCGGGAGGAACACCGGUGGCGAAGGCGGUUCUCUGGGCCUUACCUGACGCUGAGGAGCGAAAGCGUGGGGAGCAAACAGG